AUGUAAUGUAAUCCCUACAUCAUUAAUGCACUAGAUCCCAUUAGUACUCCAUAUUUAAGAGCACUUGGGCUAGAUUAGUAUUGGGAUGGGUGACCUCUUGGGAAGUCCUAAUGUUUUACAUG
rnacentral:rRNA from 1 species